rnacentral:rRNA from 1 species
UUUCCGGUUGAUCCUGCCGGAGGCUACCGCUAUUGGAGUUCGAUUAAGCCAUGCGAGUCGCGAGUCUUAGGGACUCGGCGUACCGCUCAGUAACACGUGGGUAACCUGCCCUAUGCUGGGGGAUAACCUCGUGAAACUGAGAAUAAUACCCCAUAGUUCACCACGCCUGGAACGGUGGGUGGACCAAAGCUCCGGCGGCAUAGGAUGGGCCUGCGGCGUAUCAGGUUGCAGGGGGUGUAAUGUACCCUCUAGCCCUCUACGCGUACGGGUGUUGAGAGACAUCGCCCGGAGAUGGAUUCUGAGACACGAAUCCAGACCCCACGGGGUGCAGCAGGCGCGAAAACUUGGCAAUGCGAGAAAUCGUGACCAGGGAACUCCAAGUGCAUCGGGUAAGACCGAUGCUUUUCUUGACUCUUCAAAGGUCUUGGAAUAAGGGGUGGGUAAGGACGGUGCCAGCCGCCGCGGUAAUACCGGCGCCCCAAGUGGUAGUCGCUUUUAUUGGGCCUAAAACGUCCGUAGCCGGUCUGGUACAUUCGUGGGUAAAUCAACCAGCUCAACUGGUUGAAUUCUGCGAGCACGGCCAGACUUGGGACCGGGAGAGGUGUGGGGUACUCUCUGGGUAGGGGUAAAAUCCUGUCAUCCUGAGAGGACCACCUGUUGCGAAGGCGCCACACCAGAACGGAUCCGACGGUCAGGGACGAAGCCUAGGGGCACGAACCGGAUUAGAUACCCGGGUAGUCCUAGGUGUAAACGCUGUGGACUUGAUGUUGGGGGCGCUCCGAGCGCACUCAGUGUCGAAGCGAAGGUGAUAAGUCCACUGCCUGGGGAGUACGGUCGCAAGGCUGAAACUUAAAGGAAUUGGCGGGGGAGCA